GUCAGCAGCCGCGGUAAUACCCGCAGCCCAAGUGGUGGUCGAUUUAUUGAGUCUAAAACGUUCGUAGCCGGUUCAUUAAAUCCUUGGGUAAAUCGGAUGGCUUAACUAUCCGAAUUCCGGGGAGACUGGUGAACUUGGGACCGGGAGAGGCAGGAGGUACUUUUGGGGUAGGGGUAAAAUCCUGUAAUCCUAAAAAGGACCACCGGUGGCGAAGGCGUCUUGCUAGAACGGAUCCGACGGUGAGGGACGAAGCCCUGGGUCGCAAACGGGAUUAGAUACCCCGGUAGUCCAGGGUGUAAACGCUGCAGACUUGGUGUUGGGGACCCUUCGGGGUGUUCAGUGCCGGAGAGAAGUUGUUAAGUCUGCUACUUGGGGAGUACGUCCGCAAGGAUGAAACUUAAAGGAAUUGGCGGGGGAGCACCGACCAACGGGAGGAACGUGCGGUUUAAUUGGAUUCAACACCGGAAACUCACCAGCAGCGACUAUUACAUGAAAGUCAGGCCGAUGACCUUACUAGAUUUUUAGAGAGGAGUGGUGCAUGG
rnacentral:rRNA from 1 species